AAAAAAUUAAUUUCUGCGUUUUCUGCAAUGAACUAGGAGCAAUGGAUUGAAAAUAUUUGGCCAAAUAAUUUUUAUAAGCAUAACAAAAUUCCAUUUUUCUGGACCAAACCUCAUCAGCCCAACUAGGAAAGACGAUGCUGGAGGUGGGCUGUCUGACCAUCUGGAGAUUUCAGUGUGCUCCAUCCAUCUCAUGCCAACCUGACUUGCCAGAAUUAGGGUCACUGUGCUCUGAGACACUUUGAGAUGAUGCUCAAGGGAGCUGUGCUCUGCAGCCUCCUGGGUCCCUUCUGCAGGUGCACUUGCUUUUUCAAUCUGAUGCUAUUUUUCUUACCCUCUGUAGGCACUCACACGCAGAACUAUUAUUACUUGCUUGUUACUGCAUGUUGCUGAUUCAUACUCAUAGGAAAAAGUAAUUUUAUCUUCAACACCUCUUCCUUGUCAUUUAAGACAUAUGUUAAUGAAAGACAGAUUUUGGCAUCCACUUUUCUCUGUAGCUUUGAGGCCACAAUAUAGAUUCAUUAUAAAUGAAGAUGCAACUGUUAUUUUACUUCUAUUUAUAUUUAUAACUACACCAAAGCCAUCUUGCGGGUACCUUUGCGCCUCUCAAAUCCCCAACCAUAUUCCAAGAAACCGUAUUCCAAGAAAUGCUCAACAUUUCAUGCCUGAAUUGGUAUUAAUGUGGCAUUAAUGUACAUACAAUGUUUUAAAUAACGAUGUUUUCACUCAUAUUUUAUUAUGGACACCUCCUGAUUUCACAUAUUUUACAUUACCCUAGAGCUGAAUCCUUUUGAAGACAUUUUAAGGGUUUUUUUUCCCCACUGCAGUACAGAAUGCUUUUUUUCUUUAAGCGAGGAGUAUGCAAGUGAGAGUGCUCUGCGAGGAGGGAUGCCAAGUGGAAGGCUGAAGCCUGAGGGGGUGGGGCGAGUGCAGAACUAGGCAGAAGCAGAAUGCUGAAAAGAACUGAUUGAAAGCUUUUUGCUUUGUCAUUCCUCUCAGUUCCUUUCCUUCUCUUCUUUUCCAAUUUGUAAUUGUGGACAAGUGUAACCUACUUAUUUGCUAGAAUGAUUGGAUCUAGAAUGAGCCAUAACCUUGAAGGUCGUCUGAAACAAACUCCUCUCCACUGCUAUCGUUUUCUGCUUGACUCAGAAAGCUCUUUCUUCCCUGGUGCCUUUCCCAGCAGCAUUUGGGCCCAUCCAUUACAAGAGCAGCAAGUAGAGGUUUUGGAAUCAGAGAGUUCUGGGUCCGAGUUGUGACUCUGCUACUUACUAGAUGUGGUAUCCUGAGCAAGUUACCCAACAUCUCUUCUGUAAAUGGUUAUCAUCAAAAUGAAUUCCUAGGAGUUUGAGGAUUAAAUAAUGUGUAUAGUAUACACAAAAUCUAGCAUUCAGAGCUAAAUUAAGAGUAGCUAAGCAGUUCAAUAGGAACUAGGACCCAUGCUUCCUGUUUGACUCUGAGGCAACACUUUUUUCCAUGGAAAGAUACUGUCUUUCUUACAAUGUCUCAUAAAACCUUUGAAAAAGUCACUGUUGCUGGAAUACUGUGUGUACUGCCUUGUAGAUUAAUAACAAUACCUCACAUAUAUUUAAUGCUCUAGAAUUGACAAUGCACUUUCACAAGCGGGGAAAAUACCCACGCCAACACUAAGUCUCCUGAUGACUAACAGAGGCAGGAAGCAGGAGGAGCAGAGGCUUUGAAAGAGGUCGAUUAGUGAUGCAAAUGUGAAGUUAUCUGCACUUGUGAGGAGCAUAACAAACAUCAAAACCAAUUAGAAGUAACAAUGUGUGAUCUAUUCAGGCUUCAGGACUUUGAUGAGUUGGAAGUUUUGGGGUUUAACAAUCCAGAUGGUUCUGAUAGCUUUAAGUUUUGCCUCCAAGAGGGCAGCUAUCUGCAUAUGGGUGAAUUUUCACGUACAAGCUAGAGUACAGCAACGACUUAGAAUCACACACGGGUAGAAACCGGGACGUGUUCACAAUUUGUAGACAAAGCAUAUGGAAUCGAGAGAGGCAAAGCAAAUAAGUUCUCAGAAGUCAAUGUUAAAUGGGUGUUUCAAUACAGGCAAAUGUGUCAUACCGAAUGCAAAACUUUUAAUAAUAGAAACUGUUAUCUUGACUUUCUCACAACCUUCGGAAACAGUUCCUCAUGUGUGAGAAUUUUUACAUUUGGACGAUGCUCAAAAGUGAAUUUUUAGAAAUGGAGAAAAAAAUGAAGGGUGCAUUUAAACAAUAUAUUCCAUUGUUUCUGUACUGUAAGAAGAUGAAAGAAUAUACCUUUUACUCCUGGAAAGAAAAUGGUCCUUUUGAAAUUCAGCUCUCUCAGAAGAUGAAUUUUUAAAUAUCAAACUCUGCCUAACCAACUGGUCCUAGCUUUAUGGAUGUGAGGGGUAAAUUAGAAUUUCAUGCAGUUAUCAAAUAUUUUAAACUAAUACCCAAGCAGUUACAUUUGCAACGCUUCAUGAUUUCUUAACAUCUAUAGACAAAAUUCCAAAUAGGUCUUUCCCUUUUCUUUCUGUGCCAAAAUCUACAUUUCUAUCUAGCAGCAAACCCCGAGAAGGAAGUUGUUGUAGGUAGGUUAAGAGACAGAAAGACUGACCAGGCAAGCAGAAGACACUGGUGGAAAUGGCCCUGCUGCGCAGCCAUGUGGAAUAGGAAGGCUAUGCUGGACAGAGCCCAAAAGAGACCAGUUUGUGUCUCACAGUCCAAAUUUGGUUGAUGUAUUUUUGAAGCUUCUAAAGGUUAACUCACAUGCUGUAAUACAUUAUAGAAAGACACGAAGCCGAAUUUUACUGUGCCAGUCAAGAGGCUGGCUUGAAUCCGCUAUUUAGAACUGAGAGAGACAGUACAAUUUACAUGUGUGAGAAUGUGAGAAUAAUUUUACCUUCUGUUGUUUUUGAAACCACCUUGGGCCAUGAUUUUUAAACGGAGACACAAGGAGAUCUGCUGGGGUUCCCAUAGCAACAUUAACUUAUCUAAACUGCCCUUGCUGUAUGUAAUACUUUCAUGACUAGUUUGGCUUUUUAAUGUACACUUUAAUUAUGAAAUACAACUGAGUUAAGAGUCUUGGGCAAAUUUUAAUGUUUAUAUUUACUGACUUAUGCAUGUUUAAACAGAAAGCUUGAUAAUUGUACUUUUGAGGACUUGCCAUCAAGGCAAGUUUGUGCAAAAACCUUUAUGUGGUCUUCCUUGCCACUGAUCUCUGACCUCACUCCAUUCCAUUCUAUAGACAACUCCUCAACCUCUCUCAAUACAUUUAUAAGACACCAUAUCUCAAACUGAUCUCAGAUGGCUCCAGUUCAGAGACUAGAAGUCAUACACCUGCUAGUCUAGGUUAUCUACAAGCUGACCCCCUUCCCAUCUUUUCUACCUAUCCCUCAUCAUUAAUGUCCCACACCACACUUGUCUUCUCACCAUCUGCUGAGAAUGUACAUUCAAGAACUAGCCUGAGACCUACCUCCCCCAAGAAACCUGAUUCUUCUCCAUUCUUUUUCAGAGCUAAUCUCUCUCUCUCUCUCUGGAAAUACUAUUACUACUGCUACCACUGCUAUAUGAUGUGUUGGCUGUGACUGGACAGCAUCCCUCCCCUGGUGUUUUUUGACAGCAGUGUCUUGAUUUUCCUUUGAAGAACUUUCUUCCAUUCCAGGAAGUGAAAUUUCCUUCCACUCCAGGUUGGAGUGCAGUGGUGCGAUCUCAGCUCACUGCAACCUCUGCCUCCCAGGCUCAAAAGAUCCUCCCAGCUCAGCCUCCUGAGUAGCUGGGACAACAGGUGCGUGCCACCAUCACUGGCUAAUUUUUGUAUUUUUGGUAGAGAUAGGGUUUUUCCCAUGUUGCCCAUUCUGGUGGCAUCAUCAAUUAAGCUGCCCUGCCCCAGCCUGUUAAGAGAUGAACCAAUGACUAAAGCUGGACCAAUGAUAUUCUUCUAGAAAUUGGAUUUUAAGUGAAUUCAGAAAGAAAAAACAGUUGGAACUUAAUUAUUCCAAUGAUGGUUCUUUCAAGAGAGUAUUUAUUUAUUCUAGGUUCUGUGGUUCAUAAUCAAAGUCUGCUAGCUGGUAAGUUCCCUAUUUGAGUGUUUGUAUAUUGUCUUAGAUCAUGAUUUACAGGUUUGGGAUAUGCACAUUUUGUUUUGCCAGCUGUACUCUAUUUAUGCUCCCUGAAGAGCAUAAACAAGGCUGGGUCUUUAUUGUUCAUAUUAUUCCACUGAAUUUAGCACUCAAUAUGUAAGUAGUCAAUAAAUAUUAUGUAAUGAGUAUGAGACUAAUCUUAAAAACUUCAUUUCUACAAAAUGUGAUUUGCAAGCCAACUUAUGUCCUUUUUGAAGCAAGGGAGUAAAUAAAUUUUUUUUUUUUUUUUUGAUACGCAGUCUAACAACUGUCACCCAGGCUGGAGGGCAGUGGUGUCAUCUCGGCUCACUGCAACCUCUGCCUCCCGGGUUCAAGUGAUUCUCCUGCCUCAGCCUCCCGAGUAGCUGGGAUUACAGGUGCCCACCACCACGCCUGGCUAAUUUUUUUUGUAUUUUUAGUAGAGACAGGGUUUCACAGUGUUGGUCAGGCUGGUCUUGAACUCCUGACCUCAUGAUCCGCCUCCUCGGCCUCCCAAAGUGCUGGGAUUACGGGCUUGAGCGACUGCGCCCGGCCCUCGAGGGGAUAAAUACAUUUUUAACUGCCACAAUUUAAGAAUUCUCUUGGGUAUGACAGUUGUCUUAAACAGAGCUUACCACUGAUACCAGAAAGGGUCUGGAUCCAGACGCCAAGAGAGGAUUCUUGGAUCUUGUGCAAGAAAGAAUUGAGUCCAUACAGCAAAGUGAAAACAAGUUUAAGUAAAGAAUAGGCUGGGCGCGGUGGCUCACACCUGUAAUCC
rnacentral:lncRNA from 1 species